GUAGGUGGCAAGCGUUGUCCGGAUUUAUUGGGUUUAAAGGGUGCGUAGGCGGUUCUAUAAGUCAGUGGUGAAAUCCGGCAGCUCAACUGUCGAUGUGCCAUUGAUACUGCAGAACUUGAGUACAGACGAGGUAGGCGGAAUUGACGGUGUAGCGGUGAAAUGCUUAGAUAUCGUCAAGAACACCGAUAGCGAAGGCAGCUUACUAGACUGUAACUGACGCUGAUGCACGAAAGUGUGGGGAUCAAACAGGAUUAGAUACCCUGGUAGUCCACACUGUAAACGAUGAUUACUCGAUGUUGGCGAUACACAGCCAGCGUCUUAGCAAAAGCGAUAAGUAAUCCACCUGGGGAGUACGCCGGCAACGGUG
rnacentral:rRNA from 1 species